rnacentral:rRNA from 1 species
GACGAACGCUGGCGGCGCGCCUAACACAUGCAAGUCGAACGGAGCUGAGAGAAGCUUGCUUUUCUUAGCUUAGUGGCGAACGGGUGAGUAACGCGUGUGUAACCUGCCCUGGAGUGGGGGACAACAGUUGGAAACGACUGCUAAUACCGCAUAAGCCCACGAUCCGGCAUCGGAUUGAGGGAAAAGGAUUUAUUCGCUUCAGGAUGGACUCGCGUCCAAUUAGCUAGUUGGUGAGGUAACGGCCCACCAAGGCGACGAGUGGUAGCCGGACUGAGAGGUUGAACGGCCACAUUGGGACUGAGACACGGCCCAGACUCCUACGGGAGGCAGCAGUGGGGGAUAUUGCACAAUGGGGGAAACCCUGAUGCAGCGACGCCGCGUGGAGGAAGAAGGUUUUCGGAUUGUAAACUCCUGUCGUGAGGGACGAUAAUGACGGUACCUAACAAGAAAGCACCGGCUAACUACGUG